GGAAUUCCCGGUGUAGCGGUGGAAUGCGUAGAUAUCGGGAGGAACACCAGUGGCGAAGGCGGCCUACUGGGCACCAACUGACGCUGAGGCUCGAAAGUGUGGGUAGCAAACAGGAUUAGAUACCCUGGUAGUCCACACCGUAAACGAUGAUUACUAGGUGUUGGAGGAUUGACCCCUUCAGUGCCGCAGUUAACACAAUAAGUAAUCCACCUGGGGAGUACGACCGCAAGGUUGAAACUCAAAGGAAUUGACGGGGGCCCGCACAAGCAGUGGAGUAUGUGGUUUAAUUCGACGCAACGCGAAGAACCUUACCAAGUCUUGACAUCCUGCGACGCACAUAGAAAUAUGUGUUUCCUUCGGGACGCAGAGACAGGUGGUGCAUGGUUGUCGUCAGCUCGUGUCGUGAGAUGUUGGGUUAAGUCCCGCAACGAGCGCAACCCUUAUGGUCAGUUACUACGCAAGAGGACUCUGGCCAGACUGCCGUUGACAAAACGGAGGAAGGUGGGGAUGACGUCAAAUCAUCAUGCCCUUUAUGACUUGGGCUACACACGUACUACAAUGGCGUUAAACAAAGAGAAGCAAGACCGCGAGGUGGAGCAAAACUCAGAAACAACGUCCCAGUUCGGACUGCAGGCUGCAACUCGCCUGCACGAAGUCGGAAUUGCUAGUAAUCGUGGAUCAGCAUGCCACGGUGAAUACGUUCCCGGGCCUUGUACACACCGCCCGUCACACCAUGAGAGCCGGGGGGACCCGAAGUCGGUAGUCUAACCGCAAGGAGGACGCCGCCGAAGGUAAAACUGGUGAUUGGGGUGAAGUCGUAACAAGGUAGCCGUAGGAGAACCUGCGGCUG
rnacentral:rRNA from 1 species